rnacentral:rRNA from 1 species
GACGAACCGAGCGAACGUUGUUCGGAAUCACUGGGCUUAAAGGGCGCGUAGGCGGGUGCUCAAGUCCGGGGUGAAAUCCUCCAGCUCAACUGGAGAACUGCCUCGGAUACUGGGUGCCUCGAGGGUGGUAGGGGUAUGCGGAACUAUCGGUGGAGCGGUGAAAUGCGUUGAUAUCGAUAGGAACUCCGGUGGCGAAGGCGGCAUACUGGACCACAUCUGACGCUGAGGCGCGAAAGCCAGGGGAGCAACGGG